rnacentral:rRNA from 1 species
UUUGGACAAUGGGGGAAACCCUGAUCCAGCCAUCCCGCGUGUAUGAUGAAGGCCUUCGGGUUGUAAAGUACUUUUGGCAGAGAAGAAAAGGUAUCCCCUAAUACGGGAUACUGCUGACGGUAUCUGCAGAAUAAGCACCGGCGAACUACGUGCCAGCAGCCGCGGUAAUACGUAGGGUGCAAGCGUUAAUCGGAAUUACUGGGCGUAAAGCGUGUGUAGGCGGUUCGGAACGAAAGAUGUGCAAUCCCAUGACUCAACCUUGGAACUCCAUUUUUAACUGCCGAGCUCGAGUAUGUCAGAGGGGGGUAGACUUCCACGUAUAGCAGUGAAAUGCGUAGAUAUGUGGAGGAAUACCGGUGGCGAACGCAGCCCCCUGGGAUAAUCCUGACGCUCAGACACGAAAGCGUGGGGAGCAAACAGG